rnacentral:lncRNA from 1 species
ACAAACAAACAAACGAGUCAAAGAAGCACACAUUCUACUCUCCAACAAAGGUCACAAAGACAGAUGAAGGAUCUGGAGACAGCUGUGUAAACAGUUGUACCUGGCUGAAGUUCUGUGUCUCAGUACAUCUGUCCGUCAAAACAGAAGACACAUGGACACACACACAAACACACACACAUUAAAAAAGAGGCCAUGAAUUUAAGAACAAGCAAAGAGAAGUGCAGGGAAACUCACUGCAAGGACAAUACUCAGCCAGCCAAGGACUGUCCCAGCUGAGCAUGCCAGAGAGAGGCACUCCAGACCUUUCUAGAAGCAUCCAGUACAGCCGAGAGCCUGAACAGUCACCUCCAUAAUGCAUUGAAUCACUGAUCCCCGAGUUGCCUCCUUGGCAGCCCCCUCAUGUGUUGGGGCCACACCUUCAGCUGUUGUUCUGAGUCGUCCACUUCCUCCCUCUCAGGGUAUCCUGAUGCUGCUGCACACUGGACAGGUGAUUCCAAAACCAGCCAAGUUGCCCGGAAGAUGAAUACCUUGAUGUGUGUUUGGAUAACACAUGAACAGAGUUCCUGAGUUCCUUCCGUAAGUUCUGUGUGGAGAAUCUGCUGCAAACAGAGAAAGGGGGUACUUGUCACUUCUUGUAUUAUGGGCAGAAAGCCAAGCAGCAUCAAAUCCCCAUGUGCUCCAAAUCCUUGGCAACAGCCACUUGGAGAUCCUGCUCAUUCUACAUCAUGCAUCGUUCUGGAACUAAAGAUGCCCUCAGAGGUUGCUCAGCCUGAAACAUGGAGCUAGCAAGAAGGAGCUUGCACAGUGACCUGUCAGCACUACCAUCGGCACUUUGGACAACACCUCUAGGUGUGACAGUUAGGCCAGAGGAGCAGCUGAACUAAUACACAUUGAAAGGAGAUGUUUGGGGAUAUGAGAGGCCACAGGGCAACUGAGUCCCCCUUGGUCAUAAUUAGCCCUGAUCUCUUUGGAGGAGCCUUAAGUCCAUUCUCACUUCAUCGCAAGUAAACCUCAUCUCAGUGAGUGGCCUGCCCUUAAGAUAAGAAAGAAAACCACAAUGAAGACAAAUAGAAGGAUCCAGACAACACCAUUAAGGACUGGUUGGACACCAUCGCCUGAUCAGAGCUCUGCACUUGAGGUGUCUCUGUCCUUACUGGAGAGGGAGAGUGGCAAGUGUUGGCUAGGUGUUCAAGGCACAGCAUUGGCUGGCGCAACAGGAAAUUCCUG